GACAAAAGCAAGUUCUACAGAGAGAGAUCACAUGGUGAGAGAGGCAGCAAGACGGAGACCAAAUUUGCUUUACAAAAUCAUAUCCUCUCAAGAACUAAUCUACCCUGGAAUAACAGCAUUAAUCCCUUCUGAGGAUGGAACUUCCGUGACCUAACAACCUGCACAAGGCUCACCUCUUACAGGCUCUCCCACUUCCACAUUGCCUCCCUGGGGAACAAGGUUCCAGCACAGGAGUCUUUAAGGAACACACUCUAACAACAUCCAAACCACAGCAAUUUGUAUAGCCAGCCUCUCAGCAUUCACUGAGUUCUUGAAGCUAAGAGUGCAAGCCAUCUAUAUGUGUUUGAAGUCCAGAUAUGCUGUUUGAAGUUGAGAUAUGCUGUCUCCAACUUUGCUGCAUCCUGGGCUGGAGGCAAAGGGGUUCCAGAAGGUCCAGAUGUCCAACUUCUUUUAACUGCAUCAGGCUGAGAAGGGGCCAUGACCAUCCCUAACCAAGGACCAAAAGUCUCAUCCUGUCUGAUCUAAAGGAGACAUAGGAAUAUCAGGUUCCUUCUUUUUUUUUUUUUUUUUUUGAAGAACCAUCAUCCUCUGAUAGUCUGAAAAAGAGAGCAAGGGCAUAAGAGAUACUAGCCCACAUCAGCAAUGGAUCAGACAAUAUAAAAGAAUCC
ensembl:lncRNA